CUUGGCUUCUACACACUUAAAAAAUAUCCACAAUGUCAACGCGACACCCUCCAGGGUGUUCCUCAUCUCCGCCGCGAGGAGAGCGGGUCCGCGCUCCGCU